rnacentral:rRNA from 1 species
GACGAAGGUGGCAACCGUUGCUCGGAUUCACUGGGCAUAAAGCGCGCGUAGGUGGUGACGCAAGUCACUGGUGAAAUCCCCCGGCCCAACCGGGGAAUUGCCGGUGAAACUGCGUUGCUUGAGGACGGGAGGGGAGAGUGGAACUCUUGGUGUAGCGGUGAAAUGCGUAGAUAUCAAGAGGAACGCCGGUGGCGAAAGCGGCUCUCUGGACCGUACCUGACACUGAGGCGCGAAAGCUAGGGGAGCAAACAGG